AUACAAAACUGUAUUGAAAAUAAUCCAGAAUAUCCAUUACAUUUGUGUACUUGAUAGUUACAAGUUAUAAUGUACAUUAUAGACCCCUGAAUCUACAAUAUGCACAUAAACUGGCAAUAUUUACUUUAAUAAUGAGAUUGCUUCUGUAGAGCAAAUGACACAAUAAAUGUUCAACUAUUUCGAAUGGGGGCUAUUUCUAUUUUAUAGUCUUCAUAUGUCUUCAUUGUUUUGAAAAUGUAGACAACUGAAAUUAAACAGUCAAUACCAUUCCUCUGCAGUAAGUACUAAUAGAUGUUACACAUGAACCCACUUAUAAAAACACACUAUGCUUUCCUUAGAAACAGGUAAAGAAAAAUAACAGCCAUAGCUUGCUAAAAAGUCAUGUAAAAUAGCUGCCUUUAUAUUGAUGACAUUUUUGCUUCUAGAGCUGUGAAUUAAUAUUUUUAAUUUGCAGAAUUUAUAAACAUACAGGAAGUGUGUGACACCCAUUAACCAAGACUCACAAACCAACAUAAUAGAAGUUUAUAUAAUUAUAGAAGCUGUGAUUUAUAACAUGUACCAAAUAACAAUUCAAGCUUAUUACAACUAUCAAAAGCUUUUUUCAUCCUAAAACAUUUAUGCUUUUGAAUAGGUGCUAGCUCUAAAAUGUUUAUGUCCAUUUUAAAUAUUCAACUGAUUAAUUAUAAACCUUCUCCCCAGCA
rnacentral:lncRNA from 1 species